AUCUGCAGUCGAGGGGCAGCACAGGUAGCAAUACUGGGUGGCGACCGGCAAACGGGUGCGGAACACGUACGCAACCUUCCUUUGAGUGGGGGAUAGCCCAGAGAAAUUUGGAUUAAUACCCCGUAAGAUCAUGGUGUGGCAUCACACAGUGAUUAAAGCUGAGGCACUUAAAGAUGGGCGUGCGGCUGAUUAGGUAGUUGGUGAGGUAACGGCUCACCAAGCCGACGAUCAGUAACUGGCGUGAGAGCGCGACCAGUCACACGGGCACUGAGACACGGGCCCGACUCCUACGGGAGGCAGCAGUAAGGAAUAUUGGUCAAUGGACGCAAGUCUGAACCAGCCAUGCCGCGUGGAGGAUGAAGGUCCUCUGGAUUGUAAACUUCUUUUAUCUGGGAAGAAAUGGUUCUUUUCUAAGGAUCUUGACGGUACCAGAUGAAUAAGCACCGGCUAACUCCGUGCCAGCAGCCGCGGUAAUACGGAGGGUGCAAGCGUUAUCCGGAUUCACUGGGUUUAAAGGGUGCGUAGGCGGAAAAGUAAGUCCGUGGUGAAAUCUCCGAGCUUAACUCGGAAACUGCCGUGGAUACUAUUUUUCUUGAAUGUUGUGGAGGUUUGCGGAAUAUGUCAUGUAGCGGUGAAAUGCUUAGAUAUGACAUAGAACACCGAUUGCGAAGGCAGCAGGCUACACAAAUAUUGACGCUGAGGCACGAAAGCAUGGGGAUCAAACAGGAUUAGAUACCCUGGUAGUCCACGCCCUAAACGAUGAUUACUCGACAUUUGCGAUAUACAGUAAGUGUCUGAGCGAAAGCAUUAAGUAAUCCACCUGGGAAAGUACGACCGCAGGGUUGAAACU
rnacentral:rRNA from 1 species